AUGUAUCAGCACAGUUUUUGGAUUCAUUCGGUUAAUCACCCUAACCAAGAUCGAUUGUUGGAUUACAAAAAAUAUUUUUAUUCUAAGUUUUAUUCUCAGAUUCUAUCUGAAGGGUUUGCGAUCGUUGUACAAAAUCUCUCUACAAGAAUUAUCUUGUCCGAAAGAAAAAAGAUCUUUGUAGGAAUACACGAAAAAGUAAAUCGGGUCCAGCGAGACAGGGGUGGUUCUUGCAUUCAAGUGCUGGCCAUGCCGUCCCCCUUCCUCCCCAGGGCACAGCACUAUAUAUAG
rnacentral:rRNA from 1 species